rnacentral:rRNA from 1 species
ACGCUGACAGAAUGCUUAACACAUGCAAGUCUACUUGAAUUUGGGUUUUUAACUUAGGUUCGGGUGGCGGACGGGUGAGUAACGCGUAAAGAACUUGCCUCACAGCUAGGGACAACAUUUAGAAAUGAAUGCUAAUACCUAAUAUUAUGAUAAUAGGGCAUCCUAUAAUUAUGAAAGCUAUAUGCGCUGUGAGAGAGCUUUGCGUCCCAUUAGCUAGUUGGAGAGGUAACAGCUCACCAAGGCGAUGAUGGGUAGCCGGCCUGAGAGGGUGAUCGGCCACAAGGGGACUGAGACACGGCCCUUACUCCUACGGGAGGCAGCAGUGGGGAAUAUUGGACAAUGGACCGAGAGUCUGAUCCAGCAAUUCUGUGUGCACGAUGAAGUUUUUCGGAAUGUAAAGUGCUUUCAGUUGGGAAGAAAGAAAUGACGGUACCAACAGAAGAAGUGACGGCUAAAUACGUGCCAGCAGCCGCGGUAAUACGUAUGUCACGAGCGUUAUCCGGAUUUAUUGGGCGUAAAGCGCGUCUAGGUGGUUAUAUAAGUCUGAUGUGAAAAUGCAGGGCUCAACUCUGUAUUGCGUUGGAAACUGUAUAACUAGAGUACUGGAGAGGUAAGCGGAACUACAAGUGUAGAGGUGAAAUUCGUAGAUAUUUGUAGGAAUGCCGAUGGGGAAGCCAGCUUACUGGACAGAUACUGACGCUGAAGCGCGAAAGCGUGGGUAGCAAACAGGAUUAGAUACCCUGGUAGUCCACGCUGUAAACGAUGAUUACUAGGUGUUGGGGGUCGAACCUCAGCGCCCAAGCAAACGCGAUAAGUAAUCCGCCUGGGGAGUACGUACGCAAGUAUGAAACUCAAAGGAAUUGACGGGGACCCGCACAAGCGGUGGAGCAUGUGGUUUAAUUCGACGCAA